GAUGAACGCUGGCGGCGUGCCUAAUACAUGCAAGUCGAGCGAACAGACGAGGAGCUUACUCCUCUGACGUUAGCGGCGGACGGGUGAGUAACACGUGGAUAACCUACCUAUAAGACUGGGAUAACUUCGGGAAACCGGAGCUAAUACCGUAUAACAUGUUGAACCGCAUGGUUCAACAGUGAAAGACGGUCUUGCUGUCACUUAUAGAUGGAUCCGCGUCGCAUUAGCUAGUUGGUAAGGUAACGGCUUACCAAGGCAACGAUGCGUAGCCGACAUGAGAGGGUGGUCGGCCACACUGGAACUGAGACACGGUCCAGACUCCUACGGGAGGCAGCAGUAGGGAAUCUUCCGCAAUGGGCGAAAGCCUGACGGAGCAACGCCGCGUGAGGGAAGAAGGUCUUCGGAUCGUAAAACUCUGUUAUUAGGGAAGAACAAAUGUGUAAGUAACUAUGCACGUAUUGACGGUACCUAAUCAGAAAGCCACGGCUAACUACGUG
rnacentral:rRNA from 1 species